GAUAAACGCUGGCGGCGUGCAUAACACAUGCAAGUCGAACGAAGUGGCGAACGGGUGAGUAACACGUGAGUAACCUGCCUUACACAAGGGGAUAGCCUUUGGAAACGAAGAAUAAUACCCUAUAGUGUAAGAUGGACUUGCGUCUGAUUAGCUAGUUGGGGAGAUAAAAGCCCACCAAGGCGACGAUCAGUAGCCGGCUUGAGAGAGUGUACGGCCACAUUGGGACUGAGACACGGCCCAAACUCUACGGGAGGCAGCAGUGGGGAAUUUUGCACAAUGGGGGAAACCCUGAUGCAGCGACGCCGCGUGAUUUAGAAGGCCUUCGGGUUGUAAAGUACUUUCAGUCGGGAGGUGAUGUUAAUACCAUCAACGAUUGACGUACCGACAGAAGAAGCACCGGCUAACUCCGUGCCAGCAGCCGCGGUAAUUC
rnacentral:rRNA from 1 species